rnacentral:tRNA from 8 species
UGGCUUGUAGCUCAACGGCAGAGCGCUCGGCUGUUAACCGAGUGGUUGAAGGUUCGAAUCCUUCCAGGCCAGCCA